GAUAAACGCUGGCGGCGUGCCUAACACAUGCAAGUCGAACGCCCUUUUGCGCAAGUGAGAGGGAGUGGCGGACGGGUGAGUAGCACGUGGGUACCUACCUUGAGGUGAGGAAUACCACCGAGAAAUCGGUGACAAGACCGCAUGUCUUCGGCACCGAAGAAAGUCUCGCAAGAGACGCCACAAGAUGAGCCUGCGCCUGAUUAGCUGGUUGGUGAGGUAACAGCUCACCAAGGCAACGAUCAGUAGCUGGUCUGAGAGGAUGAUCAGCCACACUGGGAUUGAGAACGGCCCAGACUCCUACGGGGGCAGCAGUGAGG
rnacentral:rRNA from 1 species